rnacentral:misc_RNA from 1 species
GUUUUGCAUUUUCUGCAUAUCAUGUGUACCUGAUGUGCUGGAAUUGAACGGCAGUGAUUGUUAGGUGCAUCAAUUUACUUUUCCCAGUCCGAAAGAGAAAACCAUUUGUUUUUCUCUUUUAUUCCAAGAGAAUUUUUUCAAUGGUGGAUCCCAUACAUCACCACCAAAUUUCCUUGUAGUUCCCGUCUGCUUUUUUAACAUUUAUCUGAUCUUAACAAAGUCCACCAUGUUUAUCUCCA